rnacentral:rRNA from 1 species
AUUGAACGCUGGCGGCAGGCCUAACACAUGCAAGUCGAGCGGAUGAAGGGAGCUUGCUCCUGGAUUCAGCGGCGGACGGGUGAGUAAUGCCUAGGAAUCUGCCUGGUAGUGGGGGAUAACGUCCGGAAACGGGCGCUAAUACCGCAUACGUCCUGAGGGAGAAAGGGGGGGAUCUUCGGACCUCACGCUAUCAGAUGAGCCUAGGUCGGAUUAGCUAGUUGGUGGGGUAAAGGCCUACCAAGGCGACGAUCCGUAACUGGUCUGAGAGGAUGAUCAGUCACACUGGAACUGAGACACGGUCCAGACUCCUACGGGAGGCAGCAGUGGGGAAUAUUGGACAAUGGGCGAAAGCCUGAUGCAGCCAUGCCGCGUGUGUGAAGAAGGUCUUCGGAUUGUAAAGCACUUUAAGUUGGGAGGAAGAGCAGUGAGUUAAUACCUUGCUGUUUUGACGUUACCAACAGAAUAAGCACCGGCUAACUUCGUG